rnacentral:rRNA from 1 species
GGACUGGAGUCUGCAACCCGACUCCACGAAGCUGGAUUCGCUAGUAAUCGCGCAUCAGCCACGGCGCGGUGAAUACGUUCCCGGGCCUUGUACACACCGCCCGUCAAGCCAUGGGAGCCGGGGGUACCUGAAGUGCGUAACCGCGAGGAGCGCCCUAGGGUAAAACUGGUGACUGGGGCUAAGUCGUAACAAGGUACC